rnacentral:rRNA from 1 species
GAGACUCUGUGCGCGUGCAUAUCAAUAAGCGGAGGAAAAGAAACUAACUAGGAUUCCCUCAGUAACGGCGAGUGAAGCGGGAAGAGCUCAAAUUUGAAAUCUUCAAGGUUCUACCUUGACGAAUUGUAGUUUAAAGAAGUGUUUUCUGUUGGAGUUUUGGUAAAAGUUCUUUGGAAUAGGACAUCAUAGAGGGUGAGAAUCCCGUAUUUGACCAUUAUUUCCAACUUUGUGAUACACUUUCAAAGAGUCGGAUUGUUUGGGAAUGCAGUCCAAAAUGGGUGGUAAAUUUCAUCUAAAGCUAAAUACUGGCGAGAGACCGAUAGCGAACAAGUACCGUGAGGGAAAGAUGAAAAGAACUUUGAAAAGAGAGUUAAACAGUACGUGAAAUUGUCAAAAGGGAAGCGUUUGACACCAGUGUUGUUUUCUCGAAAAUCAAUUAAAAAUGGGGGAUUUUGUGUUGUAUUGACUUUAUCAGCUUUCUGUCACUUUUUUCCUGUCUUUUUUAAUGCACUUUUCGUUUAACAAGUCAACAUCAAUUUCUUUUGUUGUAAAAGGGUCAUUGGAAGGUGGCUUUCUUUUCGGAGAAAGUGUUUAUAGCCUUUGGCCUCUGCAAUCGGAGAGAUUGAGGUCUGCAGCGUAGAUCCUUCGGGGUUAGAUACAUUUGAGCUAAGUUAUAGCUUUUUAUAGACAACUUGUUGACUAUAUUUAGUCUUGUAGCUUACUCGCUUAUGCUAUUUUACCUACGCUUAGGAUGUUGAGUCGUAGAGCACGCAG